CGGGCAGUAUCUCAAUUGGUAGAGUCCCUGCUUUGGGAGCAGGGUGUUGCAGGUUCAAGUCCUGUCUGCCCGACCA
rnacentral:tRNA from 7 species